rnacentral:rRNA from 1 species
GAUGAACGCUGGCGGCGUGCCUAAUACAUGCAAGUCGAGCGAACAGACGAGGAGCUUGCUCCUCUGACGUUAGCGGCGGACGGGUGAGUAACACGUGGAUAACCUACCUAUAAGACUGGGAUAACUUCGGGAAACCGGAGCUAAUACCGGAUAAUAUAUUGAACCGCAUGGUUCAAUAGUGAAAGUCGGUUUUGCUGUCACUUAUAGAUGGAUCCGCGCCGCAUUAGCUAGUUGGUAAGGUAACGGCUUGCCAAGGCAACGAUGCGUAGCCGACCUGAGAGGGUGAUCGGCCACACAGGAACUGAGACACGGUCCAGACUCCUACGGGAGGCAGCAGUAGGGAAUCUUCCGCAAUGGGCGAAAGCUUGACGGAGCAACGCCGCGUGAGUGAUGAAGGUCUUCGGAUCGUAAAACUCUGUUAUUAGGGAAGAACAAAUGUGUAAGUAACUAUGCACGUCUUGACGGUACCUAACCAGAAAGCCACGGCUAACUACGUG